rnacentral:rRNA from 1 species
AUUGAACGCUGGCGGCAGGCUUAACACAUGCAAGUCGAACGAGUGGCAGACGGGUGUGUAAUGCUUGGGAAUCUAGCUUAUGGCGGGGGAUAACUACGGGAAACUGUAGCUAAUACCGCGUACCAUAGGAUGAGCCCAAGUGGGAUUAGGUAGUUGGUGAGGGAAAGGCUCACCAGGCCGACGCUCUCUAGCUGGUCUGAGCGGAUGACCAGCCACACUGGUAUGGGGAACCGGCCCAGCCUCCUACGGGAGGCAGCAGUGGGGAACAUUGCGCAAUGGGGGCAACCUGACGCAGCCAUGCCGCGUGAAUGAAGAAGGCCUUCGGGUUGUAAAGUUCUUUCGGUAGCGAGGCGUUAACUACAGAAGAAGCACCGGCUAACUCCGUGCCAGCCGCCGCGGUAAUAC